GCAUGUUAACACGCUGCGCCACAGUGCCAGCCCCAAUAAAUAUUUUAAAAAAGGUUUCUUUUUCCCAAUAGGAUUGAUGCUCCAGCUAUCUUUUACCUAGCAUUUGUGGGUUUUCUCCCUAAUUAUUUACUUUGAACUAUUUUGCAUCCUUAAGUUUUAGGUAUGCUUCUUGUCAAUGGCAUAUGAUAAGAUGUCCAGCACUGUUUUAUCCUUCUCUGGAAAUUGAAGCUAAGGCCCAGAGCCCAGGACAAGAGAUGUAAAGUGCCCCACGUGUUAAUUCCGGGACAGUCACCUCACGACUGGCGAGGCACGAAUACCCUCUCCCCCGCUCCACAAAUACAGAGAUGUCUGUGAGAUUCCUUCCCUUUCUGCCAGGGGCCAGUCACAGGUGGAGCCAAGCCGCACGCGGUCCCACGUCAGCAGGCAUCGGUACUCCCUCCUUUUUGGAUCCUCAAAGUCAGAAGCGAGAGUUCGCGAAGGCCUAGGCUACAUUCUCGGGGAAGGAAGUGUAAGCAGACCAGGGCAGAGGAAGACGGAUUCGAAGAGCAGACCUCAAUGUCACCCAGUGCCAAGCUGCUGGCACCCCAGACAGAGCUGGCCGGAGCUGGGGUGGCAGGCACGUGGGCUCUGAAUGGGGCUUCACACUGAAAUUCAAAUAUGGUUCCCACUGAGAGUAGAAUGAGGCUCCUCCGACGGCACAAAGUGACUGCAUGUGUUGGAAUUCUGACAAGAUGUCAUUUAGGCACCAAACUGCCAGUGAGAAAAAAAGGUUGACAGAGCACAGUUUCAGGGCAGUCCCUGGAGGAGAACUAUUUUGUGUUUACGCCACAAUGAAUCCUCCCCUAAAACUUCAAAGUGAAGAGCUGGAUCUUUGUUUUGUCUUAUUAUCUGACAAUUUGUUUUUCGACCACAAAGCUUAUUUGUAGUGAACAUAGAUGUAUGUGGAUUUCUCCACCAUUUUGUUUUGUGAUCUUUCCUUUGCUUCUUUCCCUCCUUCCCUAUCUUCUUCAACCAACUUUUCCUCACCCAUCUGGGAGACCCGUCAGAUCGCCGCCUCCCCUCACUCCCCUCCCCGGGGGAUGUAUUUAGAAGCAUCAGCAACAAAGACACAGGUCUAAGAAUGGAACCCACCAAACCGCCUUGGUGCUGGUUAGGUUUUAUUUUAACAAGAUGUUUUCUGUCCAUUUGUUUUUCAAAAUAUCAGUUAUAUCAAUAUUAGAAGUGUAAACAGGUACAAAAUAUACAGUACAUAGAAACAAUUUUCUUAACUAGUCUAUUGCCUAAUAAAAGUACGCAUGAGGGAGCUGAACAAAUGGAUGCCAGGGCCUCUCCUCCACAGGGAGAGGAGGUACUCACUCUGGGAGAGGGCCACAGGCAGUCAACAAAACAGGAAUGGGUAUUCGUGUGGUGGGGACAGCACUGUGGUAGAAUCAAGAAACCUGGGCCUGUUUCUCAUUCCAGCCUGAAGAGAACAGGCUUGGGGGCAAGCCGCAGACUGGGAACUCAGCUCUCACGCUGCCUUCCGAGUACCCCGUGUGGGGGUGCGUGCACUCACCGGGGAAGCUGGGGCGCAGCCAGGCAGCUGCUGCACCCGAAGUUUCUUUGAGGCUUGAUGAUCUGACUCAUGCAGGUGCGGGAUCAAUCUUUUUAGAGGGCGAAAAUGGAAACCUUUUCUCCCCCAAACUGAUGCUCCAAGGGCAGGAGCCGCAUCCCACUGCGGCCCUUCUCAACGCCGGGUGCCCCACUGUGCACCCACAGUGAGACUGAGAUGGUCCCCUUUGAGCCUUUACUCUCUCAUGUCUCAAAGGAAAGAAUGCCUGCCUGCCCCACCUCCUGGAGUCAGGGCGCUGAUCCCGCCAGAGGCACAGGGCAGGAGUGGGCAGUGGCAGCGACACUUUGCUCUUGGCUCCGGGGUGACCACCAGAUGUCUGCGGGCUCCACUCCUCGCCUCAGCUUCUUCACCCUCCCAAGACCAACACUGUGGCUUCUGACAAUGCUGCUUUACAGCCCGGGACUCACUCAACAGGGGCCGUGGCCAAGUUCCCUUCAGAGAGGUACCCCAGGUGGCCCCACAUAGGGAAAGGCCAGACCAUGGCCAGCAGUUGAGGGGGCCUUCCUUUCUGGAUGAAGAGGCAAGCUGGAGUUGUAACAGUGGCUCCUGGGUGGGUCCUUCCUGCCGAGUGGCAGCCCAUGUGCAGACCCGCCCACCCUGGCAGAGCAGGGCCUCAGCUCUCUGGGGGGGGGGGGGGG